rnacentral:rRNA from 1 species
UACGGAGGGUGCAAGCGUUAUCCGGAUUCACUGGGUUUAAAGGGAGCGUAGGUGGCUUUGUAAGUCAGUGGUGGAAAUCUUAGAGCUUAACUCUAAAACUGCCAUUGAUACUGCUUAGCUUGAAUCACGUCGAGGUGGAUGGGAUAUUACAUGUAGCGGUGAAAUGCUUAGGAUAUGUAAUAGAACACCGAAUUGCGAAGGCAGUUCACUAGGCGUGUAUUGACACUGAGG